rnacentral:lncRNA from 1 species
GAAGAUGCAGUGGUGGUGCUUGGCCAUACACAAUCUCAUAAGGGGUAGCUUGAAUAGCGGAAUGGUAAGUGGUAUUGUACCACCACUCAGCCAAAGGUAACCAAUUGAAACAAUCUCAUAAGGGGUAGCUUGAAUAGCGGAAUGGUAAGUGGUAUUGUACCACCACUCAGCCAAAGGUAACCAAUUGACCCAUUCCUUAGGCCGCUGCCAUGUCAUAGCCCGCAAGUAAUGUUCUAGGCAACGGUUCAAGACUUCGCUUUGACCGUCCGGUUGAGGAUGAUAAGCUGUCGUUAAGCUCUGUGAAAUGCCCAACUGACCAAGAAAAGAACCCCAAAAUUUACUUGUAAACAAGGGAUCUCUG